CCUGGGCUCCAGCGAUCCUCCCACCUCAGCCUCCCAAACUGCUAGGAUUACAGACAUGAGCCACUGCACCCAGCCGUAUGUUGCAUUUGGGCACUGGGGUCUAUGAAGGUCCAACCCCAUCCCCCUCCCCCGGGGCACCAUCCUGGGUCGUGUCCUGUGUGACCAGAAUAUACCAGAAUCAUCUUGCUUCAGGCAUGUGCUGCUUGGGUUUCUCCGUGUGUCUCUGUACCUUGUAGGUCUCCGCACGCAUCCCCUCAGCGUGUCCUCUGACCAUACAUUGGAAUCGCAUCACACACCGGAGCACGCUGGAUCAGUGUGUGUUUUGAAUCAUAACCGUGAGCACUUGUGUUCGAGUCAACAGGUGCCACAAUGUAUGUGCAUUUCUCUAGGUGCUGGGUGAUCGGGGGCUGCUCUAGGUAUGUCCCUAAAUGUUGUGUGUCUGCACAUAUCGGGUUUCAUUCCAAGGGUGUGUAGUGUUUAGGAGACUGGGACCGCACCGUGUUUCUGUAGAUGUGUGGUGUGUGGCGUCGGGGUGUCAGUAUUUUACUAUAUAUUAUGUGUUUGUGUAACACCUGAUGUAUGUUGUGUUUGUGUGGCCACAGAUGUGCAUCAUCCUAUUUGUGGUGUUUGGGUGAGGCUCUUUGUGUCAGAGAAAGUUGUGACAACUUUGAGUGUAAUAUUUGUGCCUGUGUGUGGACGAUGUUUGUGUGGCUGUGUGUGCCACGGGACGCUGCCUGCUUGCUAAGUGCUGGUGUGUGUCACACCAUGUGUGUGGUGUCUGGGUGUGGCUGUGGGUUUCGGAGCUUGCUGGGAGUUGUGAGUCACUCUGUGUAGGUUGUGUUGUGUGCCCUGGUGUGUUAGUCUCUGUCUUGGGCCGUGGAGUGUCCUUCGGUGUCUGGGUGUGGUGAGUGGAGGUGUGUGUCACAAGGUACAGACCAUUGUGUGUGACAAAGCCCAUCGUGUGUCGGUGUGUGUCUUUACCCACGUGGAUGGACGUCUCUUUCUUGCUCUGCCCCAAGACACACCCUAGCCCCUCCUUAUUCUCAAAAGGGGGAGCUGGGGAGCCUCCCCCUACCCUGGGGCCUCCCCUGCCCCUCCCCGCCCUCCCUGGCCGCCACCACUCCCCAGAGGGCACAGGGCUCUGCUGUGCCUCAGAGCAAAAGUCCCAGAGCCAGCAGAGCAGGCUGACGACCUGCAAGCCACAGUGGCUGCCCUGUGUGUGCUGCGAGGUGGGGGACCCUGGGCAGGAAGCUGGCUGAGCCCCAAGACCCCGGGGGCCAUGGGCGGGGAUCUGGUGCUUGGCCUGGGGGCCCUGAGACUCCGAAAGCGCUUGUUGGAGCAGGAGAAGUCUCUGGCCGGCUGGACGCUGGUGCUGGCGGGAACUGGCAUCGGGCUCAUGGUGCUGCAUGCAGAGAUGCUGUGGUUCGGGGGGUGCUCGUGGGCGCUCUACCUGUUCCUGGUUAAAUGCAUGAUCAGCAUUUCCACCUUCUUACUCCUCUGCCUCAUCGUGGCCUUUCACGCCAAAGAGGUCCAGCUGUUCAUGACCGACAACGGGCUGCGGGACUGGCGCGUGGCGCUGACCGGGCGGCAGGCGGCGCAGAUCGUGCUGGAGCUGGUGGUGUGCGGGCUGCACCCGGCGCCCAUGCGGGGCCCGCUGUGCGCGCAGGAUUUAGGGGCGCCGCUGACCUCCCCGCAGCCCUGGCCGGGAUUCCUGGGCCAAGGGGAAGCGCUGCUGUCCCUGGCCAUGCUGCUGCGUCUCUACUUGGUGCCCCGCGCCGUGCUCCUGCGCAGCGGCGUCCUGCUCAACGCUUCCUACCGCAGCAUCGGCGCUCUCAACCAAGUCCGCUUCCGCCACUGGUUCGUGGCCAAGCUUUACAUGAACACGCACCCCGGCCGCCUGCUGCUCGGCCUCACGCUUGGCCUCUGGCUGACCACCGCCUGGGUGCUGUCCGUGGCCGAGAGGCAGGCUGUGAAUGCCACCGGGCACCUUUCAGACACACUUUGGCUGAUCCCCAUCACAUUCCUGACCAUCGGCUAUGGUGACGUGGUGCCGGGCACCAUGUGGGGCAAGAUCGUCUGCCUGUGCACUGGAGUCAUGGGGGUCUGCUGCACAGCCCUGCUGGUGGCCGUGGUGGCCCGGAAGCUGGAGUUUAACAAGGCAGAAAAGCACGUGCACAAUUUCAUGAUGGAUAUCCAGUAUACCAAAGAGAACUGUAAGGGUCUAUCUCCAUGGACACUGUGCCACCCACCCCCAGAUGAAGGAGUCCGCUGCCCGAGUGCUACAAGAAGCCUGGAUGUUCUACAAACAUACUCGCAGGAAGGAGUCUCGAGCUGCCCGCAGGCAUCAGCGCAGGCUGCUGGCUGCCAUCAACGCGUGAGGGCGCUUUGUAUGCACAUGUGUCCAUGUGCACCCAUGUCCAAGUCACCUCUCUGCACGGCUUGUGUGUGUGCGUGUCCAUGCCCGUCCAGGUCAGGACACCCAGGUGUGGUCUCACUCAACAGCUUGUCCACCUGGAUCUGACCAUGCAUGACUCUGUGUGUCUGUGCUGGUUUGUCUUUGCAUAUCUUGGCGUGUCUGUGGACCUGGGUACCUGGGUUUCUACUGGGGAUGGGGGCUCAUGGGGAUGUGCGGUGCAGUCAUCCCCUCCCACUCUUUCAGCUCUUUGACGUUUUGUCUUUGUUUUGUUGCUUCAUGUGCCUCUCCUCCCUUCAUUCCACCCCUGAGCUACAGCCACAUUCAGGGACCAGGCUUGUAAAAUUGACUCCCCACUUCCGACAGGUUCCGCCAGGUGCGGCUAAAACACCGGAAGCUCCAGGAACAAGUGAACUCCAUGGUGGACAUCUCCAAGAUGCACAUGAUCCUGUAUGACCUGCAGCAGAAUCUGAGCAGCUCACACCGGGCCCUAGAGAAGCAGAUUGACACGCUGGCGGGGAAGCUGGACACCCUGACUGAGCUGCUUAGCACUGCCCUGGGGCCGAGGCAGCUUCCAGAACCCAGCCAGCAGUCCACGUAGCUGGACCCACGGAGGAACCAGGCUACUUUCCCCAGGACUGAGGUGAUGUACGUCGUCUCUGCCACUCCUGCCCCGGCCCCGAACAAAGCACCUCAAGUGCAAGGACCAAAGGGGGCCCCGCCUUGGAGUGGGUUGGCUUGUGAUGGCUGCUGGAGAGGACGCUGGCUAAAGUGGGGAGGCCUUGGCCCACUUGAGGCCCCAGGUGGGAACAUGGUCACCCCCACUCUGCAUACCCUCAUCAAAAUCACUAUGCUGCUAUGGACGACCUCCAGCUCAGUCACAAGUGGAGGCGCCUGGAGGCCGGACUCCUGGGUCCCUGGGGAAGAGGGUACUAGGGGCCCGGAUCCAGGAUUCUGGGAGGCUUCAGUUACCGCUGGCCGAGCUGAAGAACUAGGUAUGAGGCUGGGGCGGGUAGGAGGUGGCGCCCCCUGGCGGGACAACAAAGAGGACACCAUUUUUCCAGAGCUGCAGAGAGCACUUGGUGGGGAGGAAGAAGUGUAACUCACCAGCCUCUGCUCUGAUCUUUGUAAUAAAUGUUAAAGCCAGAA